GCACAAGCGGUGGAGCAUGUGGUUUAAUUCGAUGCAACGCGAAGAACCUUACCUGGGCUUGACAUGUCCGGAAUUCUGCAGAGGUGCGGGAGUGCCCUUCGGGGAAUCGGAACACAGGUGCUGCAUGGCUGUCGUCAGCUCGUGUCGUGAGAUGUUGGGUUAAGUCCCGCAACGAGCGCAACCCUUGUCCUUAGUUGCCAGCGGUUCGGCCGGGCACUCUAGGGAGACUGCCGGUGACAAACCGGAGGAAGGUGGGGAUGACGUCAAGUCCUCAUGGCCUUUAUGUCCAGGGCUACACACGUGCUACAAUGGCGCGUACAGAGGGAAGCCAAACCGCGAGGUGGAGCAGACCCCAGAAAGCGCGUCGUAGUUCGGAUUGCAGUCUGCAACUCGACUGCAUGAAGUCGGAAUCGCUAGUAAUCGCGGAUUAGCAUGCCGCGGUGAAUACGUUCCCGGGC
rnacentral:rRNA from 1 species